rnacentral:rRNA from 1 species
AUUGAACGCUGGCGGCAUGCCUUACACAUGCAAGUCGAACGGUAACGGGCCUUCGGGUGCCGACGAGUGGCGAACGGGUGAGUAAUGCAUCGGAACGUACCUUUCAGUGGGGGAUAACGUAGCGAAAGUUACGCUAAUACCGCAUAUUCUGUGAGCAGGAAAGCAGGGGAUCGCAAGACCUUGCGCUGAUUGAGCGGCCGAUGUCAGAUUAGCUAGUUGGUGAGGUAAAGGCUCACCAAGGCGACGAUCUGUAGCGGGUCUGAGAGGAUGAUCCGCCACACUGGAACUGAGACACGGUCCAGACUCCUACGGGAGGCAGCAGUGGGGAAUUUUGGACAAUGGGGGCAACCCUGAUCCAGCCAUGCCGCGUGAGUGAAGAA